CCGCCCGUCACACCAUGGGAGUGGGCUGGACCAGAAGUCAGUAGCUUAACCGCGAGGAUGGCGCUGACCACGGUGUGGUUCAUGACUGGGGUG
rnacentral:rRNA from 1 species